GCGUAGGGUAAGUAGGCUGUGAAAAACGAAGAAAUUAAAAUACUAGAUAGUAAUCUUUAAAGUUUUCUUAACGAUUUCACUGGAAUUUUAAGCGAGACGAUGGUAUUUUUAAGGAAUGGUUGAAUAUGAGAUAUAAAAAGAACGACGAUGGUGAAAGCGAUUGUCUUGUUGAAGAUUGAGCUAAAGGACGAAGGCAGGGGAGCAAAGAGGGUUAGAGAACCUCGUAGUCCGUGUAUCAACGCUGAGUUUUCAAUGUAGGAGUUGCGAAAAUAAUUAUUUAAUAAUUUAAACGUUUUGGUGUUUGAGUAACGCAUUAAAUUCUCCGCUGGGAAGUAUGGUCGCAGGCUGAAACUCAAAAGAAUUGAGGUGACUUGUACAAGG
rnacentral:rRNA from 1 species